rnacentral:rRNA from 1 species
AUUGAACGCUGGCGGCAGGCCUAACACAUGCAAGUCGAGCGAGCGACGGGCGGGUGAGUAAUGUAUGGGGACUGCACGAGAGAGGGGGAGAACGACUGGAAGCGGUAGCUCAUCCCACGUACAAUCGGCUAAGCCAUAUGGGAUUAGCUAGUAGGUGAGGUAAUGGCCAACCUAGGCGACGAUCCCUAGCUGGUCUGAGAGGAUGAUCAGCCACACUGGGACUGAGACACGGCCCAGACUCCUACGGAGGCAGCAGUGGGGAAUAUUGCACAAUGGGCGCAAGCCUGAUGCAGCCAUGCCGCGUGUAUGAAGAAGGCCCUAGGGUUGUAAAGUACUUUCAGUCGGGAGGCGUUACCGACAGAAUAAGCACCGGCUAACUCCGUGCCAGCAGCCGCGGUAAUAC